rnacentral:rRNA from 1 species
GACGAACGCUGGCGGCGUGCUUAACACAUGCAAGUCGAACGGAAAGGCCCUGCUUUUGUGGGGUGCUCGAGUGGCGAACGGGUGAGUAACACGUGAGUAACCUGCCCUUGACUUUGGGAUAACUUCAGGAAACUGGGGCUAAUACCGGAUAGGAGCUCCUGCUGCAUGGUGGGGGUUGGAAAGUUUCGGCGGUUGGGGGUGGACUCGCGGCUUAUCAGCUUGUUGGUGGGGUAGUGGCUUACCAAGGCUUUGACGGGUAGCCGGCCUGAGAGGGUGACCGGCCACAUUGGGACUGAGAUACGGCCCAGACUCCUACGGGAGGCAGCAGUGGGGAAUAUGGCACAAUGGGCGGAAGUCUGAGGCAGCAACGCCGCGUGCGGGAUGACGGCCUUCGGGUUGUAAACCGCUUUCGCCUGUGACGAAGCGUGAGUGACGGUAAUGGGUAAAGAAGCACCGGCUAACUACGUG